ensembl:lncRNA
GGGAGGUGGCGGCGUCAGCAUCCUGUCGGGAUGUUAGCUGGCCUUCCCGGGAAGAUCGAUGGCCCAGCUCCUCCUCGCUGCACGCUCUCAUACUCUCCCUCCCUGGGAACAGCUCCUCUCCGCCCCUCAAGUCUUGAGGUGGGCCACGCAGCCCCGGCUCUGGAGCAGGAGCCAGGACCAAGCGGAGGGCAGCCCCGGAGCUGGCCGCCCCCAGCGCGCGCUCACCAGCUCGGCGCUCAGCCGGCCCAGUGCGCCCUCGAAGCACGCCCGGCUCUGCUGCUCGCGCGCCGCCGCCCGCUGGAAGGCGCUCGCCAGCCGCCGCCUGAGGUCUUCCAGCAGCUGGCGGGCGGCGGGGGCCUCCUCCGGCACGCGCACGCUCUGGCCGCCCCCGGGGAAGCCGCGCGCGUGACGCGGGGCUGGGGGCCAGAUCCCGGCCCUGCCUGGGACUCUGCGGGGCCCGCGGGAAGCUCUGUUUCGGCGGCGGCGGGACGCCCUGGGCCCAUCUGAGAGAUGCCGGUGCCAGCCUUCCAGAUGGGAUCCUGAGGUUCAACGAAGUUAAGAGACUUACCUAAGGUCAUGUAGUAGACAUGGCUAAAGUGGGAUUUGAUUCCAGAUUAUAUGGCUCCAAGGAUGCUUGAUGAGCAGUGCCAGGUCUGCACCUGGGAUCCGAACCCAUGAACCCCAGGCCACCGAAGCAGAGCACACUAACUCAACCACUACACCACUGGGCCGGCCCCUGGAUGACCAUUUUAAAUUGUCAGUAAUCACACGGAACCAGUAUAAUCAUCUCGAUCACAUCCUUUAAGUGUGUAAGACUUACUCCAAAGAGAAAGGUAUUGAAGGAAGAGAAUACUGGCCCCCCAGUACAUAGUUGUAUAUUCUUCGUUGUGGGUUCUUCUAGUUGUGGCACGUGGGACGCCGCCUCAGCGUGGCUCGAUGAGCAGUGCCAUGUCCGUGCCCAGGAUUCGAAACAACGAAACACUGGGCCGCCUGCAGCGGAGCGUGUGAACUCAGCCACUCAGCCACGGGGCCAGCCCUUCAACAAGGAUUUUUGAAAGUUUUCUAGUUAAUUCUAAGUUAACAAAAAAAUGUUUCAAGGUGUCUGGAUACCUUAUUUCUCUAGAGUUUAUCAAGGUUUUAUUUCAGUGAUUCAAGGCUUUAAGUUGAAGCAGAAACGUAUAUCUGAGCUAGAAUAAUGGAGAAGAUUCUUCAUUACACGUUUCAGUAAUCAAAUAAUUAGGAAGAAAAUGUUAUUUUAAAAGUAAUCAUUUUGCAAUAUAUCAAAUCAUUAUGUUGUACACCUUAAACCUGUACAAUGUUAUAAAGUCAAUUGUAUCUCAAUAAAACUGGGGAAAAAAAGUCAGGAAUAGGAAAAAGACUAAUAUAGGUAUUGCAUGAAAACAAUCAGAAAGCACUCAAUAAACACAUUUUGUUCUCUGGAAGAAAAUUUGUGAUUCUGUAAGGUCUUUUUUUAAGUUUUCUGAUAAAAGGUAAUAAAUAUUUAUUGAGGAAAGCUUGAAAAAUAUAAAGAGAUGAAUAAAUACCACCCAAAUUUCACUACUCAGAUAUGACUGCUGUUAAUAUUAUGGUAGUGUCUUUCAAAGUUUCUUAGCCUCUCCAAACUUCAGUUUCCUUAUUUGUCAAAUGAGAUUAAUAAUAGUACCAACUUCAUAAGGUUAUUCUGAGAAUUACAUAGGUAAAACAUAUGAAAGCUUAAUGUUUGAUACAGAAUAAGCACACACACAAAAAGGUUAGCUGUCACUAAUUUCAAUGCCUAUCUCCAUUUUUUUAGUUUUAUAAACCAGGGUCAUACUUACCUUUUGUUUCACAUCAUGAUAUUUUCAUUAAAAAUAUUAUGACAUUUCAGGGGCCAGCACGGUUGUGUAGUGGUUAAAUUCGUGUGCUCUGCUUUGGCGGCUAGGGGUUCACAGGUUCGGAUCCUGAGCAUGGACCUACAUGCCACUCAUCAAGCCAUGCUGUGGCGCUGUCCCAUGUACAAAAUAGAGGAAGAUUGGCACAGAUUUAGCUCAACAGCAAUCUUCAUCACCACACACACACACACAGAAAAAAAUAUAUAUAUAAUGAAUAUUUCCUAGGUCAUUAAAAUUCUUUACAAUAUAUUUUUAAUAGCUUCAUAAUCUAGUAUUCUAUCUUGUGGAGCAGUAGUUCUCAAUCAGGUGCUAUUUUGCCCCCAGUGGACAUUUGGCGAUGUCUAGAGACAUUUUUGAUUGGCACAAAUGGGGAAGUGAGGUACUACUGGCAUCUAAUGAGUCAAGGUCAGAGGUGCUGCUGCACAUCCUACAAUGCACGGGACAGUCUCCCACAACAAAGAAUUCUCCAACUCAAAAUAUAAAAAUUGCUGCAAUUGACGAACCCAAGGAUGUAUCAAGAUUUUUUUUUUAAACCAAGCCAUUCUUAUUAAACGUUUAAAUAAAUUUUAUUAUUAUUAUAAGUAACACUGGAAUGAAAAUCCUUGUAGUUCCUGUUUUCUGAGGCUGUUUUGUGGUCUGCAUGAUAAUUUACUUUCAAUUGCAUCAAUAUAAGCAUUUUGGUGUGUGUAUGUGUGUGCAGACUUGCACUUAAGAGCAUAAGGCAAAUUAUCCCUAAUCCAUAUCCUGGGACAAUUAAUUAGCAUUUGAAAUGUCCUAAAAGGGAUCAAUAUUUUAUGAGUCGAUUAUUUGAUUCUUAAAUUAUUCUUAUUGAUAGUUACACCACAGGGUAUGUUAUUUAAUACUAAUGUAGAAGUAUUAUUUUGACCUUGGGCAUGUUAUCCAGCAGGUCAGUUUGAAGAUCCGGAAACUGAUCCCCAGAGGUAUAGAUACCUCAGUUUGAAGACUAUUGAGUUAGACCAAAGAGAGGCUGGUGCCCCAAGAAAAGGGAUUUUCAAUUUAUCCCAUAGACCAGAGUUUCUCAACUUCCACACUGUUGACAUUUUGGAAAAUUUGGGGAAAUUCCUUGUUAUUGAGAGGGAGGUCAUCCUCUGCAGUGCAGCAAAGAAUGUUUAGCAGCAUCCCUGGCCUUUAACCACUAGAUGCCAGGCAGGAGCAGCCUCCCCCACCCAGUUGCAACACCAAAAUGCCUCCAGAUAUUGCCAAAUUUCCCCUCGGGAAUGAAAUCACUCGCAGUUGAGCAACAUUGCCCUAGAGAAAAGGUAAAUCAUUGAGUGGUUUGAAGCAGUAAGACACAAUCAAAAUUGCAGGGCUAUUUUUAUUGCUUUUAGAAGCAAUUGCAAUGUUAAUAUGGAGACAGGCCUAAUAAAUUUUUCAAAGAACUGGUAAAAAAGGAAGAAUCUUUGGGGACAUUUGCCUGUCCAAUAUCAAAACACAUUCUAAAGCUUUAUUAUUUAAACUUGGGUACUAAUGUAGGAAUUAAUAAAGAGAUCUAAGAAAUGGAAAAAACAGUCCAGAAAUAGGUUAAUGUUAGAAAGAAUAGCAAAAUAAGCAUUCUCACUCAAUAUGAUGGUAUCAUGAUGGUGUAAAAUGGUACAAUCCUUGGAAAGCUGUUUGUCUAUCUGUAUCAAGUUAAUAAAAUAUUCAUAUCUUUUGGGAUUGUGUAUAUUUGUCAGAAUAUUGUGACUUUGUUAAAAAUUAUCUUGAUGAAGAGUGUGUUAUAACAUGCAAAGAUGCUUAUGUUAAACUGAUAAGUGAAUAAAAAUACAGAAAAAAUAUGUAUAUAUUAUACAUAGAAUACAGAAUACGAUGUACAUUUCGAAUGUAUAUUCAAUAUGAACACUAUGAAGUCAAAAAACAAAAGUUUAGGAGAGUGUGGAAUAACAUUUAGAGUACUUUUCCUUAAGUAGUAAACAUUUCAUGGGCUAUUUUUCUGCUUUUGUUUCUCCUUAUUUUAGCACUUUUUCUAAAAUGAUCAUGUGUCAAUUAAGGGGAAGUUUUGGAAAAAAUAGAAAUAAAUUGUAAUUUUAAAAAGGAGUGGAAAAGCAUUAAAUAGAAAUAACCAAGUCUACUUUUUUGCCUUCAUUGAAUAUUUCUCUUGGCAAUUUACCAUUCCUACCAUAGCCUUCUUGGAGAGACAUUUGGUUUUUUCUUGGAAAAACCCCAUGCUUACUGACUUUAUCCAGGAAAAAUUGAAAAUUGAAGAAUAUAUAACAAAGAGUUUACCUUGGCCUGAUUAUGAGUCAAUAUUUGGGGGGAGCUGGUGACAUGC